rnacentral:rRNA from 1 species
UAUUGCGCAAUGGGAGAAAGCCUGACGCAGCAACGCCGCGUGGGGGAUGAAGGCCUUCGGGUUGUAAACCUCUUUCAGCAGGGAAGAAGCGAAAGUGACGGUACCUGCAGAAGAAGCACCGGCUAACUGCGUGCCAGCGGCCGCGGUAAUACGUAGGGUGCAAGCGUUGUCCGGAUUUAUUGGGCGUAAAGAGCUCGUAGGCGGUUAGUCACGUCGGAUGUGAAAUCCCGGAGCUCAACUCCGGGCCUGCAUUCGAUACGGGCUGACUCGAGUGUUGUAGGGGAGACUGGAACUCCUGGUGUAGCGGUGAAAUGCGCAGAUAUCAGGAAGAACACCGGUGGCGAAGGCGGGUCUCUGGGCAACUACUGACGCUGAGAGCGAA